rnacentral:rRNA from 1 species
GACGAACGCUGGCGGCGUGCUUAACACAUGCAAGUCGAGCGGUAAGGCCCUUUCGGGGGUACACGAGCGGCGAACGGGUGAGUAACACGUGGGUGACCUGCCCUCAGCUCUGGGAUAAGCCUGGGAAACUGGGUCUAAUACCGGAUAUGACUCCAUGACGCAUGUUGUGGGGUGGAAAGCCUUGUGCGGCUGAGGAUGGGCCCGCGGCCUAUCAGCUUGUUGGUGGGGUGAUGGCCUACCAAGGCGACGACGGGUAGCCGGCCUGAGAGGGCGACCGGCCACACUGGGACUGAGACACGGCCCAGACUCCGUACCGGGAGGCAGCAGUGGGGAAUCUUGCGCAAUGGGCGAAAGCCUGACGCAGCGACGCCGCGUGAGGGAUGACGGCC